rnacentral:rRNA from 1 species
GUUGAACGCUGGCGGAAUGCUUUACACAUGCAAGUCGAACGGUAGAGGGGGCAACCCCUCGAGAGUGGCGAACGGGUGAGUAAUAUAUCGGAACGUGCCCAGUCGUGGGGGAUAACGUAGCGAAAGUUACGCUAAUACCGCAUACGAUCUAAGGACGAAAGCGGGGGAUCGCAAGACCUCGCGCGAUUGGAGCGGCCGAUAUCAGAUUAGGUAGUUGGUGGGGUAAAGGCUCACCAAGCCAACGAUCUGUAGCUGGUCUGAGAGGACGACCAGCCACACUGGAACUGAGACACGGUCCAGACUCCUACGGGAGGCAGCAGUGGGGAAUUUUGGACAAUGGACGCAAGUCUGAUCCAGCCAUUCCGCGUGCAGGAUGAAGGCCCUCGGGUUGUAAACUGCUUUUGUACGGAACGAAAAGGUCUCUCUUAAUACGGGGGACUCAUGACGGUACCGUAAGAAUAAGCACCGGCUAACUACGUGCCAGCCGCCGCAGUAAGAC